rnacentral:lncRNA from 1 species
GGACCCAAAUGGAAUUCAUUAUUGGAUUCAGUAUCCUAAAAAACAUAAAAUUUACCAAAAAUAUCUCAUCCAGCUGAAAAAAAAUUUGUUUUGCAGACCUAUGUUAUAAGUGUGGUAUAAGUGGAUAUGCUAUAGAGAACUUUGUAUUUCCUCAGACUGGGUAUAUGGAAGGCCUUAUUUUCCAACAAGAUGGAGCUCUGCCACGUUAUGUAAUGAUUGUGUGGACAAUGCUCAACAAUUGAAUCUCAAGAAAAUAGAUAGACAGAGAAGAUUCAUUGGCAUCAUGCAGUCCCAAUUUAACUCUAAUAGAUUUCUUUUUUUAGAAUUACAUAAAAGACAUUGUGUAUCAAGAAAAAGCCAGUCCCUUGCUCAUCUGCACCAUACAAUAACAGCAAUCAUAGAAACAUUUCCUAUAGAUAUGCUUACCCAAAUGUGGUCAGAGGUGGAAUUCAAUUUUUAUGUCUGUAAGGCUAUAAAUGGUGUACAUACUGACCAUUACGCUAACAGAUAAUCAAACUUAUGAUAUUGUACUUUGAUAAUAUAAAGGUAGUCCAAAAAUAUGUUUUGCAUAUAUAUAUUUAGAUUCAUAUGGAGUAAAAUAUAUCAUAUGUAAUCCUAAUCCAACCAAAUUCUACCCAUAAUUAAUUAUUUUAGAAUUAAAUUGCC